rnacentral:rRNA from 1 species
UGAUGAAUAUUGGACAAUGGGCGAAAGCCUGAUCCAGCCAUGCCGCGUGAUAGAUGAAGGCCCUCUGGGUUGUAAAUAUCUUUUAUCUGGGAAGAAACUCUCCUAUUCUUAGGAGCCUGACGGUACCAGAGGAAUAAGCACCGGCUAACUCCGUGCCAGCGGCCGCGGUAAUACGGAGGGUGCAAGCGUUAUCCGGAUUCACUGGGUUUAAAGGGUGCGUAGGCGGGCUGAUAAGUCAGUGGUGAAAGCUCCGAGCUUAACUUGGAAACUGCCAUUGAUACUGCCAGUCAUGAAUGUCGUAGAGGUAAGCGGAAUGUUGCAUGUAGCGGUGAAAUGCUUAGAUAUGUUACAGAACACCAAUUGCGAAGGCAGCUUACUAUGCGAUGAUUGACGCUGAGGCACGAAAGCGUGGGGAGCAAACA